AGUCCAACAGGGAUGGAAUCCGUGGCAAAGUGGCGACCCAGAACAGGGACUUGAGGACGUUGCAAAGUGGCUUCUGAACACAGAGACCGGAGGACGUGAACGAAGAAGGUCGGCUGGAGCAGAGGAACCGAAAACGACAAGAUGAAUGGGGACCCCGAGACAAGCCUGCCAGCAGCGGAUAUAAGGCAGGCACUCUUGAUGUGGAAAACUGGAACAGAGCGGGAGAAGGAUUGAAACAUGCUCAUCAAAAAGGUCUUAAAGUUGAUUCUUCUGCUUUCUGUACUUGCAGUCUAAUUCGUACUGUACUUAUGCCGUU
rnacentral:lncRNA from 1 species